rnacentral:rRNA from 1 species
UACGUAGGGGGCAAGCGUUGUCCGGAUUUAUUGGGCGUAAAGAGCGUGUAGGCGGCCGCACAGGUCCGUUGUGAAAACUGGAGGCUUAACCUUCAGACGUCGAUGGAAACCGUGCGGCUAGAGUCCGGAAGAGGAGAAUGGAAUUCCUGGUGUAGCGGUGAAAUGCGCAGAUAUCAGGAGGAACACCGGUGGCGAAGGCGGAUCUCUGGGCCAUUACUGACGCUGAGGAGCGAAAGCGUGGGGAGCGAACAGG